rnacentral:lncRNA from 1 species
GCCAGGCGUGGUGGCGCAUGCCUUUAAUCCCAGCACUCGGGAGGCAGAGGCAGGCGGAUUUCUGAGUUCGAGGACAGCCUGGUCUACAGAGUGAGUUCCAGGACAGCCAGGGCUAUACAGAGAAACCCUGUCUCGAAAAACCAAAAAAAAAAAAAAAAAAAAAAAAAAGGCAGAUAGUUAUCUAUUUUGUUUUAUGGUUUUUCUGUUUGUUUGUUUUUGUUUUUUUGAGACAGGGUUUCUCUGUGUAGCCCUGGCUGUCCUGGAACUCACUCUGUAGACCAGGCUGGCCUUGAAC